rnacentral:rRNA from 1 species
GACGAACGCUGGCGGCGGGCCUAACACAUGCAAGUCGAGCGAGGACUUCGGUCCUUUCGGCGGACGGGGGAGUAACGCGUGGGGACGAGCACUUUGCUACGGAAUAGCUCUGGGAAACAGAGAGUAAUACCGGAUGGGCCCUUACGGGGAAAGAUCUAUCGGCGUAGGAUCGGCCCGCGUUGGAUUAGGUAGUUGGGGGGGUAAUGGCAUACCAAGCGCACGAUCCAUAGCUGGUUUGAGAGGAUGAUCAGCCACACUUGGACUGAGACACGGCCCAGACUCCUACGCGAGGCAGCAGUGGGGAAUCUUAGACAAUGGGGGAAGCCCUGAUCGAGCCAUGCCGGGGGAGCGAUGAAGGCCUUAGUGUUCUAAAGCGCUUUCAGCUGGGAAGAUAAUGACGGUACCAGCAGAAGAAGCCCCGGCUAACUACGUG